UACGUAGGGUGCAAGCGUUGUCCGGAAUUAUUGGGCGUAAAGAGCUCGUAGGCGGUUUGUCGCGUCUGCUGUGAAAAUCCAGGGCUUAACCCUGGACCUGCAGUGGGUACGGGCAGACUGGAGUGCGGUAGGGGAGAUCAGAAUUCCUGGUGUAGCGGUGAAAUGCGUAGAGAUCGGGAGGAACACCAGUGGCGAAGGCGGCUACCUGGACCAGCACUGACACUGAAGCACGAAAGCGUGGGGAGCAAACAGG
rnacentral:rRNA from 1 species